rnacentral:rRNA from 1 species
AUUGAACGCUGGCGGCAGGCCUAACACAUGCAAGUCGAACGAGUGGCGGACGGGUGAGUAAUGUCUGGGAAACUGCCUGAUGGAGGGGGAUAACUACUGGAAACGGUAGCUAAUACCGCAUACCAUCGGAUGUGCCCAGAUGGGAUUAGCUAGUAGGUGGGGUAACGGCUCACCUAGGCGAUGAUCCCUAGCUGGUCUGAGAGGGUGACCAGCCAAACUGGAAAUGGGACACGGUCCAGAAUCCUACGGGAGGCAACAGUGGGGAAUAUUGCACAAUGGGGGCAAGCCUUGUGCAGCCAUGCCGGGUGUAUGAAGAAGGCCUUCGGGUUGUAAAGUACUUUCAGCGGGGAGGCGUUACCCACAGAAGAAGCACCGGCUAACUCCGGGCCAGCAGCCGCGGUAAUUC